GGAUUAUUGUUAACUAUGGUCAUCCUACCGAUCUAUUGAACAUACUCGUCUACUCAAUCAGCAAACACUGAGAACCAACUGGGUGCUCUUUUUAGUAUUCUACUCUUUAUAGAAAGUUUCGCUUUGGAGUGCAGUGAUGCAGUCACGGCUGACUGCAGCCAUAACCUCAUGGGCUCAAGUGAUCCUCCCACCUCAGCCUCCCAAGUAGCUGGGACCACAGGUAUGCACCACCAUUCCCAGCUAAUUUCUUCUUAUUUUUUGUAGACACAGGGUAUCCCUAUGUUACCUAGG
rnacentral:lncRNA from 10 species